AAUAGAUACCCUGGUAGUCCACGCCCUAAACGAUGUCUACUAGUUGUUGGUGGAGUAAAAUCCAUUAGUAACGCAGCUAACGCGUGAAGUAGACCGCCUGGGGAGUACGGUCGCAAGAUUAAAACUCAAAGGAAUUGACGGGGGGCCCGCACAAGCGGUGGAUUAUGUGGAUUAAUUCGAUGCAACGCGAAAAACCUUACCUGGCCUUGACAUGCCACUAACGAAGCAGAGAUGCAUUAGGUGCCCGAAAGGGAAAGUGGACACAGGUGCUGCAUGGCUGUCGUCAGCUCGUGUCGUGAGAUGUUGGGCUAAGUCCCGCAACGAGCGCAACCCUUGCCAAUAAUUGCCAUCAUUCAGUUGGGCACUUUAUUGGGACUGCCGGUGACAAACCGGAGGAAGGUGGGGAUGACGUCAAGUCCUCAUGGCCCUUAUGGCCAGGGCUUCACACGUAAUACAAUGGUCGGUACAGAGGGUAGCCAAGCCGCGAGGUGGAGCCAAUCCCAGAAAGCCGAUCGUAGUCCGGAUUGC
rnacentral:rRNA from 1 species